UUCAAUACUAAUCUAAAUUUAGUAAACCAAUCUCAAAUACAAAACAUAUCAUACAACACAUAUACCAAAAUAAAUCCCAAACACAUAUCAUAAAUACUAGUCAACCCAGACACAUAGCAUUUUAACCAAAGAUGAACUUAAACUAUAAUCAAGCAAAACCAAAUUCAAGCAUAGGAGUCAAGCCAUAUUCGCAUGGCUCAAUUUAUACAUAUCCAAGAUCGGACAAAAUACAUAUUAGCUUAUACAUGCCAUAAGUUCGAAAUAAGACUUUUAAUAGUACCAAAGGUUGGUGAUAGUGUGGAUGACUUCAUUGACGAUCCCCGAGCCUAUGCUAACUUCCAAAAUCUAUAAGAACAAAGAAUAAACAUACCCACAGUAAGCUAUUGUAUCUUAGUAAGUUAUAAGCAAUUUAAGCAAAUUAACAACCUCGAUAGAUUAAUAAAAUAACCCGAAUCAAACAUAUAUUUAUACACAAAAUAUACCAUGGCUGAAUAUACACAUAUAUAAACUAUCAAUAUAUUCUCCAAUUUCAAAGUCAUAAUAUCAUAGAUAAUCAAUUAUACACAUGUAUUCAUAUAUAUACGUACUCAUGAAUCAGUUUUUAAAUAACAUACUUAUACUUAUCAUAAAAACGAAUACACUACUCAUAAUUUCAUACAUUUUCAAUAGCAUCACAUUACAUUUUUAUCACACAUCUUUUAGUCAAUUUACCUUCAUUUCAAAUAAGUAAACCACAUUACAUUCACGUACCUAGUCACUUUAGCUCAUUUAAUACAUUUCAUUACUUUUACUGUUGCUCUCAUAAAAUUUGUCAGGCAUAAAGCCUAGUAUAACACACCGGCACAGAGCCUACUAGGCAAUAAGCCUGAUUUAAUACACCGGCAUAAAGCUUGCUAGGCAAUAAGCUUGAUAUUAUACACCGGUAUCAAAUCCUGCUAGGCAAUAAGACUGAUAUAUCACAGUUACAAAGUCGAUCUUACACAUAAUUCAUAUUUCGGAAAUCCUAAUUAUUCCUUAAAGUUCAUACGAAGCCUUUCAAACAUCAUAUCUCAAUUGAACCGAACUUAUUCUCAAAUCUCAUAAACAUUUUUACAUUCGGCUAUAACUAUAGAAAUUCACACAAUUAAAUUCAGCAUAUAAAGAUCAUAUACAUUCAAAUUUAACAACGUUUAUUGCUUAUAAACUUUCCACGGAUAUCGACGAACGAUGUAAAUCUACUAUUCGACUAUUUUUGUUUUUCCCCGAUCCAAGUCUGAUUUCUUUUGUUCUUGAUCUAUAUUAGUAUAAAUUAAACUUAUUAAAUCAAUUAUUCAACCAAAUUCAUCCAAAAACAUACAAAUGGAAAAAUUACACUUUUACCCCUGAUAUUUCACAUUUUUCACAAUUUAGUCCCUAUUGCAUAAAACACAAAAUAUGCACAAUCUCACAACAACAUAGUUAGGCCGAAUAUUCCUUAUACUCAUAUAGUCCAUAUAUUUCAUUUAUUUCACAUUUUAGUCCUUCAGUUUAUUAUUUUUACAAUUUAGUCCUAAUUACUUAAAAUCAUCAAAAAUUUCAAUACAAAACAUGUUAAUCUAAAACAUAUAUUUACUAUUUCAUCAUCAAACAUCACAAAACACAAAUAUUCAUCAAUGGCACAACUCAAAACAUUCAUCAAAAUCAGAAAUCCUAGCAUGGGUCUGAUAGUAUUCGAAACAACGAUAUCAAAAACGUAAAAAUUAUCAAAAACCGAGUUAAAAUCAUACCUUAAUCAAGCUUGAAUAUAACCGAAACCUAGCUUCUUUUUAUUUUUCUUUCUAUUUUCAUAUUCGGUGAAAGAGAAAAGUAUGACCAUGGCUUUU
rnacentral:lncRNA from 1 species